GAGGAGGGGAUCGGAAUGUGGCUCAAGUUCGGGAGGCGUUACCUGCGGAGGGUUUGAGGCAGGCCCAGGAGCGAGCCCAUGGUCUUCCGACGCGGGGCCAGGGGCGGGGCCCAGGAUCCGGAGCUUCGUGCGGGGCCGAGUCCAGGUUUGGGGCCCGGGAGGCGGGGCCAGUUAGGGCGAGGGUCCCUGGGAUCGUCGGGUCAGGCCUUGGGCUAACGUAGGCACUCUCGCAGUUCCUCCGCCUUCAGGAAGGUCUUUUCAGCAGGGGCCUUACGGGUGCAUGCUUCGGUCCUGGAGGCCUUAUCCUAGCCUCCUCUCCAUCAGCGCCACCCGUCUGGGGCCCGAAAGGAGGGAGCUUUCCCUCUGUCCCCCAGCCUUUGGACUGUCACUAAACAAGCCAUUCGUUCAUCAAAUACUUUUUAAGCGCCUACCAUGUGCCUGACAAGGGAGAUGUAACGGUGAGAAAAACUAGGUGUGGUCCAGGCCCUUCAGGGGCUCAGGUGCUCGUGGAAGAAGUGGACAUUGAAGUACUUAUCACACAAAUGAGGAUAAAAGUACGAUAACGAUAUCUACCACGAAGCUGUUGUUCCCCACCAGAACCAAAUGAGCGCAAGAUCUGACAAAGAAAAAAAAAGGUUCAUCUUUUAUUCCUCCAAACACUUUCAUUUAAAUCAAGAGGAUGGGAUGUGGUUAUUGCUGUGUUUUUAGACAGAAUCAACGGUUUCUGGGUCUGAGAUGUUGCAUACACCUUCUCAGUCCCUGUAUCCUGAGAUGGAGUCACCUGAGAAUCCACAGCAAGUCCUAACCAGGGAUGGGUCUGGGUGAUUAAGGAAGGUUGGCUUCAGAACUGGGCCAGGGGCACUGCUUUGCUUUUGCUGUUUUGAUCAGCUCUCUGCCUGAAGGAGACAAGAAAAACCAACGGGAACAGCCCAGUAAAGGCGCCAUUCCCCAUUUUACAGCUGGGGAAACUGAGUUACAGAGCUUGUCUGCACUGAGUCAUCAGGAGCAAAUGCUAGAUCAGAUAGGGUCUCUCUCUCUGCCACCCAGGCCAGAGUGCAGUUGACGCAGGGCAGGGGAGCCCCGAAGUGGAGCAUAGUGUGUCCGGAACUGGUGGGUUCUUGGUCUCACUGACUUCAAGAAAGAAGCCGCGGACCCUCGCGGU
ensembl:lncRNA FAM66D family with sequence similarity 66 member D